GCUGGAAUAACUCAGUCAGUAGAGCAUGGGACUCUUAAUCUCAGGCUUGUGGGUUUGAGCCCUGCGUUGAGCA